rnacentral:rRNA from 1 species
GAUGAACGCUAGCGGCAGGCUUAACACAUGCAAGUCGAGGGGUAUAGUUCUUCGGAAUUAGAGACCGGCGCACGGGUGCGUAACGCGUAUGCAAUCUACCUUUCACAGAGGGAUAGCCCAGAGAAAUUUGGAUUAAUACCUCAUAGUAUAGCAGUUUCGCAUGAAACCACUAUUAAAGUCACAACAGUGAAAGAUGAGCAUGCGUCCCAUUGGCUAGUUGGUAAGGUAACGGCUUACCAAGGCAACGAUGGGGUAGGGGUCCUGAGAGGGAGAUCCCCCACACUGGUACUGAGACACGGACCAGACUCCUACGGGAGGCAGCAGUGAGGAAUAUUGGACAAUGGGCGCAAGCCUGAUCCAGGGCCAUGCCGCGUGCAGGAUGACGGUCCUAUGG